GAGGCAGGCGGAAUUCGUGGUGUAGCGGUGAAAUGCUUAGAUAUCACGAAAGAACUCCGAUUGCGAAGGCAGCCUGCUAAGCUGCAACUGACAUUGAGGCUCGAAAGUGUGGGUAUCAAACAGGAUUAGAGACCCUGGUAGUCCACACGGUAAACGAUGAAUACUCGCUGUUUGCGAUAUACGGCAAGCGGCCAAGCGAAAGCGUUAAGUAUUCCACCUGGGGAGUACGCCGGCAACGGUGAAACUCAAAGGAAUUGACGGGGGCCCGCACAAGCGGAGGAACAUGUGGUUUAAUUCGAUGAUACGCGAGGAACCUUACCCGGGCUUAAAUUGCACUCGAAUGAUCCGGAAACGGUUCAGCUAGCAAUAGCGAGUGUGAAGGUGCUGCAUGGUUGUCGUCAGCUCGUGCCGUGAGGUGUCGGCUUAAGUGCCAUAACGAGCGCAACCCUUGUUGUCAGUUACUAACAGGUGAUGCUGAGGACUCUGACAAGACUGCCAUCGUAAGAUGUGAGGAAGGUGGGGAUGACGCCAAAUCAGCACGGCCCUUACGUCCGGGGCUACACACGUGUUACAAUGGGGGGUACAGAGGGUCGCUACCACGCGAGUGGAUGCCAAUCCCUAAAACCCCUCUCAGUUCGGACUGGAGUCUGCAACCCGACUCCACGAAGCUGGAUUCGCUAGUAAUCGCGCAUCAGCCACGGCGCGGUGAAUACGUUCCCGGGCCUUGUACACACCGCCCGUCAAGCCAUGGGAGCCGGGGGUACCUGAAGUGCGUAACCGCGAGGAUCGCCCUAGGGUAAAACUG
rnacentral:rRNA from 1 species